rnacentral:lncRNA from 1 species
AUUGGGUUAUCCAAAGAGAAGCGUGAGCACGUUUGUGUCACUAGUAAGCAUAUGGAACUACUUCGGUCGUGUGACUUCAGGUGUACUCUCAGAGAUUUUCUUGAUCAAAUACAAGUUCCCUAGGCCUAUAAUGCUCACAAUGAUCCUCCUCUUCUCAUGCACCGGUCACCUCCUAAUCGCUUUUAACGUCCCUGGCGGACUCUACGUGGCAUCGGUCAUCAUAGGGUUUUGUUUUGGUGCGCAAUGGCCGCUUCUAUUUGCUAUAAUCUCCGAGGUGUUUGGGCUUAAAUACUACUCUACGUUGAUUAACUUUGGG